UACAAUACUAAAAGCUGAAUAUAAUCAACAGAGAAGCUAUCCACGUAGGACUAAAUAAUCAACCAAUAGAAAGCUUGCUUUUUGCCACUUCACAUCUUCUUUUUUUUUUGUCGAGAUGAGCUUUUAAAAUUGUCUGUGGCCCAUUUGAAAUCGUUUUGCUAUCUUCUUCGAUUGUCUCCGACGAUUCCCUUCCACAGCCAUGGUUUCCACUCUCUCCACAUCUCUGUCUUUGACCUAUUCUGAUGCCUGCAUCUCUCAAUCUGCCCUUGCGACUGAUUCUGCCGCUGCGACUCUAACUCUGUCGCUUCGCCUCCGCCGCUGCUUCUCCGACUACUCCGCUGUGCGUAUACUCCUUGCCCGCGGCUCCAGAUCUCCUCCUGUUCUUCACUAUCCUAUGCGACUUCAGAUCUCUUUCCCUUUUCCACAACUAGGUUUAGAUGGCUCUUAUACUCGAGGCUUUUACUACACUUUCAUUCAGAAUAUAUCACCUACAUGGAGUUCUAGCCACAUCUCAUCGUUUAGGAAUUGUCAUUGAUACCGACCUGGGUAAACUUCGUUCGGCUCUCCGAGAAAUUGUGAAUCCAUAUGAGAAUGCAAUCUUUGUUAUUGGCAAAACGUUGGCUCCUUCCGAUGAAGACAACUUCAUCUCCUGUUUCGGCUUUGUCGACUCUACUACCCAUGGCGAGGAAGUGUUCAGUUUGCACAGUGACAAUUCUCCAAGCCAUGGCUUUGAAGAUGUCUUACCAUGUUACAGAGGAUUCACACCUAACUUUCCUUUAUCAGGGCCAACAUCGUAUGAACUGCUCAUCGAUGCUGCUGUCGACAUUGUUGAACAGAGCAACCGCCAGUUUCAUGUUCUGGUGAUUGGCGCCGAUGGGCAUGUAAAGUUUAAAGUUUUUAAAUAGAGAAAACAGAGUAUGAAUGCUUAAUGAGAAGGCCACAUUCUGAAUGUGAAGGGACUGAGAUGUUUCGAUAUGGCCUAGGGGGAACUCAGACAACAAGAGAAAGCAACUAUUUCUUAACCUCAUAUGCCGAUUGUUUUAGUAAGUGUUGGAGACGGGCCAUGGGCAGACAUGAGGAAGAUGGGUGACCUUAUCCCUAAGCGUGUCGAUCUUUCAGUUUCUGAAUUUCACAGAGAUCAUGAGAGAGGGACCAUCAGAGUUAGCCAAAGAAAGGGAAUUUUCUCUUACUGAUCUAAUUUGUGAUUCAGAUGAAGAAUGGAUCCAAGGAGGGUAAAGAUGUUUUCAUCAUUCACUUCCAACUAAAAAUUUAUUAACAGUUCAAUGAACACUUUCUGUUUUAUGUUGCAGGGCAGAUGAGGAUGUAAGUCAUUUCUGUAUUUUUGUGUUUAACACACUAAAGAAUUUACAAGCAUAAAUUAUGUGUAAGACUUUGUGGACUUCCUACGAGAACAAAAUUAUUAACUUCUAUUGUUGUCAAGAAAUAUGAUAUUAUCAGUUAUUUAAUAAUGAUCAUUUUUGAGACGGUGCUAACUUUCUGUGGAGUGAAAUUAAAAAAUCAAUGGACUGCCUUGGCUUGAAUGCUUAUUGAGGGGAUUAAUAUUUGUUUCUAAUGAAUCGAUAGUCUCUGGAGCACAUGAAUUUUCUAAGCAUAGUGAUGGAGUUGGGAAUGAGCUGUAGCACCCGGUGUCUCAGUAUCUGCGAGAUAUCAGCAUGCAGCGGUAUGAAAACUUCUUCUUCUUUGGUUCUCUUAUCUCCAUCAGAAUAGUUAAAUUGUUUGAUGGAUUAUUUAGUUCUUUGUAAAUGGAAAACUUCAUGUGUCCGGCGACAAGAAGCAAUAUCAAUUUGUCAGCUGAUGUUUGACAAAAGAUGGCAUCACAACAACAUAAUUACAAAUUGUUGAUACUUUAGGGUGUUGCUUGAUGACCUAUUAGUGGCUGAGGAUCUUGCCUCUGUAGAGACAACCUAUGAUGCUUCUCAUGCUGUUCGCUAUGAAGACGCUUUGUCCUGAACCUUUCAGAAACUUAAGAAACACAGGCAGGUGAAAUUUUGAUAGGUGUUGCAGUACCGUGAGGAUCCUGUCAAAGCUUUCGCCAUGCGAAACCAAUGGUCAUGAAAGUGGCAGUUGAAGUCGUCUUCAAGCUGGGUCUGUUUCCGCAGACAAAGCAUCAGGACAGUUGAGCGGAAUCAUUUGUGAAUCCCACACUGGUAAAGCUUUUUACGAGACUUAUUAUAACUCGUGAUGUCUUAACUCUUGAAGAGCCGGCAUGCUUUGACCACGAACAUAUGUUUUUUCAUUGGGGUGUUCACACUACGUCUUAAUGUAUACUCCAUAAGUCCCUAAAACAAUUUACUUCGAACCUAAUUUUUGAUUAUACGAAACAAAAAUAAUGAUAUUUUAAAAAGCUGUUUGUUGUCGUGCUACGUUGAAUUAGUAACAGUUGCUGCUCAAACAGCUAAUCAAGACAAUCUUUUUGAUA